rnacentral:tRNA from 1 species
GGGGCUGUAGCUCAGUGGUAGAGUGCUUGCCUAGCAUGCAUGAGGCACUGGGUUUGAUCCUCAGCACCA